AUUUGGGUGAGUUGGUAAAGAUGUGAAUAUAAGGAGGAGACAGUUAUAUGGGAAACUUCUGGGUAUUUUGCAAGACAGAAGGAAAGCAGUGUCCGACAAACAGUUAUUUUGAAACAAACUCCAGACAAAAUGUAAUAAUUAGGAAUAGGGAUAGAGAAAAGGAUCCAGAUGAACUUCUUCCUGUAGGUCACUGGUUGGCUAAAGAAGGUCUGCAAGGGAAAUUCUUCGCAACACUAGGCUGCCCAGAGUUUCCUGCUUAACACCAUAAUGAAGGCUGAUUCCAGAGGUUUGGACCUCAGACUUUCCAUGGAAAUGCUGAAUGACCUUUAGGUCAUUACAGGCUGCACAUGCACAGUAAGAACACCUGGAGCCCUCUGGAACAGAACUGACACUGCCUGGACAGGCCCUCCACAUAGGAGAUCAGAGGUAG